AGGUAGGACACUAUUGAAGAAGCAACAGUAAUCAGACUGAGCCUAACACAGAUUUGUCCUGUGAGAGUAUUUUUGACCUGUCCAGGAUCCCAACUGGGAGAACGCUGACCACCAGGAAAGGUAGGGAGACAGAACUACAACUAAUGUUGUGGAAUAAGGCAAUCACAAUGAAUUGUGGGGACUUUCAGCUUAAUGCCUUGACCUAAAGGGAGUGAAUGUGAGAAUUGCACCACCGAAAAUGGAUUGAGGAAGCUUAGCAUCACCAACCUUUUUCAAGUCAGUACCUUGACUUGUGGCUGUGUUUUUGGGAAUGCUGAAUUCCCUGUAUUUGGUUCCUAGGAUAAAAAUAGGAAGACAGUUAUUCUAUAAUCUUUUUUUAAAAAUCAACACAGACUAAUGUAAUGAUGAAGAUGUUGAAAUGAAGAUGUAACGUAAGUGCCAAAUCCUCAGCUGAAUCAGUGAAUUCCAUCCAUCUCAGUAGAAUGGACCCUUUCACUUUGGCUGUAGAUGCGGACCAUACAUAUGAAAACAUAUUUUAUUUGUUUUUAAAGUAAUGAUAAGUAUUAUGUUCCAGGGUUUAGCUAGUAAUUGAAUACUAUCAAAAUAUAGCAAGGUCCCUACUUUUGCAUUAAAGAAAAUGAAUGUCUUUAAUUUUGAUAAUUAUACAGAUGAUAAACAGCAUUUUCUCCAUGGUUAAAAGCAAAACUAAGUUGUUGAUCAUAUUCUUCAAAUAAGUGAUGGCUAGAGAAUGGUAUUUAGAAAUUUACUUCUAGAAAGUGGCUUGUAGG